UCCGUAGGUGAACCUGCGGAGGGAUCAUUACACAAAUAUGAAGGCGGGCUGGAAUCUCUCGGGGUUACAGCCUUGCUGAAUUAUUCACCCUUGUCUUUUGCGUACUUCUUGUUUCCUUGGUGGGUUCGCCCACCACUAGGACAAACAUAAACCUUUUGUAAUUGCAAUCAGCGUCAGUAACAAAUUAAUAAUUACAACUUUCAACAACGGAUCUCUUGGUUCUGGCAUCGAUGAAGAACGCAGCGAAAUGCGAUAAGUAGUGUGAAUUGCAGAAUUCAGUGAAUCAUCGAAUCUUUGAACGCACAUUGCGCCCUUUGGUAUUCCAAAGGGCAUGCCUGUUCGAGCGUCAUUUGUACCCUCAAGCUUUGCUUGGUGUUGGGCGUCUUGUCUCUAGCUUUGCUGGAGACUCGCCUUAAAGUAAUUGGCAGCCGGCCUACUGGUUUCGGAGCGCAGCACAAGUCGCACGCUCUAUCAGCAAAGGUCUAGCAUCCAUUAAGCC
rnacentral:sRNA from 1 species